rnacentral:rRNA from 1 species
UAGGGAAUCUUCCACAAUGGGCGAAAGCCUGAUGGAGCAACGCCGCGUGUGUGAUNAAGGGUUUCGGCUCGUAAAACACUGUUGUAAGAGAAGAAUGACAUUGAGAGUAACUGUUCAAUGUGUGACGGUAUCUUACCAGAAAGGAACGGCUAAAUACGUGCCAC